CGGAUUUGACUGCAUGUGACUGAGGGUUAAACUACAACACUAUCCAGUACAUUGCAUAAAUAUGCAAGUAUAGCCAAACAACAUGAAUCCUUUACUUUUCCUCAGAGCUCUUGGGAUUACAGUUACUCCUCCAGAGGGGGAGACUAGAAGAGCAACGGAGGGUAAAAUACCUUACCUUGGUGAAGUAGGUAGUGAGGAGUUUCUCAUGAAACUCACAUCUCAGAUCACUGAAAUGGUUUCAGCGAAAAUCUCACAAGGUAAGAAUCCUGCCGCCGACCCCUUUAGCAAAGCUAAUAUAAGUUGUGAUUUGAGACAAGUUAGCACAGACAGAGAAAUCUCAUAAAACCUUCUGGAAUCUGGGUUAAAGUACUAACAAAUGCUGCUUUAGUUUUAGAUGUGUGGAUUAUGUUUUUGAAUUUAUGAUUGCAACAACUGAGGGAAUUUUUAUGUGAAGAUUUUUUUUUUUGUCACCCUUGUUAUUCUUUGUGCUUUUUCAUUCACUUAACUGAAAGUGCAAAAAAAAUGAGAAAAAAAACCUAAAUUAGUAGUUUUGGAAAAAAAAAUGUAUUUAUUAGUUUGUUAUAUUAUUUCAGUUUUUGUUUCCAUUUCUCCCUUAAAGACUGAAAGCGGAAGUUUAAUUUUACGUUUUAAAGACCAAUUUUAGAAUUGAAAAGAAAUUUCUAAGAUUGUUUCUUUUUCUGUUUGUGCAUGUGCGUCAAUAAUGAAUCGGACUCAGCGUUUCUAUACAUGAAUAAAUGUUUGUUUGUUGCAUUUUUCUGACUCUGCAUGUCAUUUUUAAUCUGCUGAUGCAAAAAAAGCUAAAAUAUUAAAAAAAUAAUCCAUGAAUGCUGUUUUGCUUAAAUCCCAUCAGGUUUGGUUGAAUUUGUUAAAUCAAAAUUUGAUUAUUUGUGUUUUAAUUAUUCAACACAUUGUGUUUUUAAAGGUAAUAUUUUUUGUUGUUGUUGUGGAUUUCUAAAUGAAACCAAACCAGUUUGGAUUUUAUGUGAAUUUUGAGCUAUUUUGCUAUAAAUUGUUAUUGUUUUAAACUUGUCUUUGUGUUUUACAGACAUAAACUUUAACCCUUUCCGUUAUGAAUCAAUCCUACCAAAUCAAUUCUCAUUCAACCAUUAAUUUGUUAUUCAGACAGUUUACAGAAUCAGGAAGUCCUCCAGUGGAUGAAAUCUUGGCCCAAAAAUUCCAGUAUGUAUCCAAAGUUUAACAGCAUCACAGUUUUUUUUUUAAAGAUAUUUAUGAAUUUAGACCAUGAAAAGAUUUUGCAGUGCAGGUAAAUAAUUUUUUUUUGCAGUGUCCUCCUUUCUGUGUUUAAUAUUGUGUGUUUCUGUGUCCUUUUAAAAGUGUUUAUGUCAUUGAAAUGCUGCUUCAUAUAUGAAAUACAUGCUCACUAUACAGAGACAUGUAUGUAAAAAGCAUGAUGCCACUAACAAAUAUUAUUAUAUUUAUUUUGAGACGUGUUACACUUAAAAUUUUGAAAAAUGAUAUCUGAACAAAAAACAAAACUUGAUUAAAAUCUAUAGAAAGUGUUUAUGAAUCUGAUUGAUCGUCAGUUGAGUUUAACAGAUUAAAUUCAGAGUUAAUGACUGACGCAGAAACGCGUUUUCUUUUUUUGCUGCUUCAGCAUCGUUGCGCGUACCAGGCGUCGACAGCGACGAUGAGACCAAAACGCCGUCGCCGUCUCCUCACCACGGCAGAUCCAGACCGCCCUCCCUCAUCGCCGACUCCUCCUCUGAGUCCGAUGAAGGAGACGCCCGAGGAGAGGUGAGAUAAUAUUAUUUCGCUUUUAAAUAUUAUUUCAUAUUUAUUCAAAAUGAAUGAUAUGAACUUAUCUAAAUAUACUUUCAGAUGUUCGACAUCUACGUGGCCACGGCGGACUACACGCCGACUCUCGCCUGCAAAGACUCCAUCUCUCUAAAGGAGGGCCAGUAUGUUGAAGUUCUGGAUUCUGCUCAUCCGCUCAAGUGGUUAGUUCGCACCAAGCCCACAAAAACCACCCCGUCCCGCCAAGGCUGGGUCUCCCCUGCUUACCUGGACAAAAAACUCAAGGUAUGAAGCUUCCAUCUUAUGUGUUCUGCUGCAAACAUUCCAAUCUUUCUUACAUUUUUUUUGGCAGCUUUCUGCUGACUCGGGCGAUCUCCCUGAAACCAGCACAGAGGAGGUCUCUGAGGGGGAAUACAAGAGAAAGUUAUUGUAAGAGAAGCUCGUUUUAAUGCUGUUUACUCAAUUCAUACUGACAGACCAGCUGUUUCGUCUCUCCAGCCAACUGAUUCAAGAUCUGAUAAACGGAGAGUCGGAAUUCGUCCGGGAAGUGGAUUUCUUCACAUCCCACCACCAGAAGCACGCCGACUCCCCCGACGCCCCUCCUGACAUUUCCACCCAGAAGGAAACCAUUUUCAGGAAUAUUGAUGACAUAAAAACCUUCCACAGCAAGUAAGAUCCCCUCACGGUCACCAGAUUGUUUUGUCUUAAAAACAGAGUCAGAAGAGCGACUGAAAAUAUCUCAUUUCCACUGAGCCAGUUU
rnacentral:lncRNA from 1 species